ensembl:snRNA U2 U2 spliceosomal RNA
AAAACUUUUUUCCAAAAUAAAAAAAAUCUGUUCUUAUCAGUUUAAUAUCUGAUACGUCCCCUAUCUGGGGACCAUAUAUUACAUAGAUUUUUGGAAUAGGGAGAUGGAAUAGGGGCUUGCUCCGUCCACUCCACGCAUCGAUCUGGUAUUGCAGUACCUCCAGGAACGGUGCACCCCCU